GGAGUGUCCGCCCGGCCCUCCCCGCGCCCCUGCUCAGCGCCACAGGAUGGGACCCGGGCUCGGGAAGGGCGAAGGUAUCAAGUAGCACUGGCCCCUUUUUGUGAGCGCGAGUGUAAUCAGAGUGGUUGUCUAAUCCCAAAUUGCAGGCGCAUUUUCUGAACGCUCAGCCCAUAAAAGCCCUGGAUUAAGGGGAGGCAGGGGGCACAAGGCAGAGAGCGAGCGAGCGAGAGAAAAGUUUGGCGCAGCGUGCAGCGCGGAGGACCCGGGGCUGCCGCCUGGCGCGCACACUGCGCUGGCGGAGAAGGAGCAGCGGCGGCGGAGGCGGAGGGGGGGAGCCAGGUUGCCCUGUCCCGCGAGGAGCCACCUCCAGGGACCGCGCUGGACGGGGCCGGCCGUGCCCCCAAAGGGCCCCGCUCGGGACGGGGCGCCGGCGGAAGGCUCCUGGAUUCUGCCCCAGACCCCAGGGCCCCCAGCUCGGACUCCCUCUGCUUGUACCCAGGGGGAAGCGCUAGCUUGUGCGCACAGCCCAAUGGAUCUGGAAUCCACACAGGAAGAAGAGUGGACUAAUCAGGGACAAGGCUGAUGGGGACACAUAUUGGCUCCCUAUGGCUCCAUGUUGUUUAAACAGAAAAGGAAUCAAGGAGAAUUCUCUCACAUCACCAUAUUCUUCUUUCAUUGUUUGGCUUGAGUGGUGAAGGAUGCAUGUUCUAUUCUUCUCUUCACUUGACAUCUACCAGAUCCCUCCUCAGUGAUUAGGAAUGAUCAUGAUACCAAGAUUGGAACAGUUAAGGCCCGAAUUCCACCCUCAGAAACAUACAGGCAAUUCCCAUUGACUUAAGUUUUGGUUCUGCAGUGCACUGUAAUAUCUCCUGAAUGAGACUGAAUAAAGGCUGUAGCAAAAAGUUCAAUGAUUUUGUCCAACAAGCCAGGAUUUGGAUGACCCUCUCUUCCCUCCCCCCCCGCCCUCCGCAAAAUGGCUUACAUCUUUUGGUUAAUCUCAUGCACCAAAUUAUUAUUUCAAUUGCUGCUAUUUAAUAAUGAUUGAGGCCUUUUUCUUCUUUCAUCUGUACCAUUUCUGAACUACAAAUCCAUUAAAAUUUUUGGAGGACAGUACAAAUGAAUAAGCAGUAUACUUUUAUGUUGUAGAACUUGAACAUGGGUUUAUAAAAUAUCAUUUCCAUUAAAUACUACAGGGGUUACUAAUGGGUAACUCAUAUGCUGAUUCCUUGUUAAACAUUUUAAUAAAUAGUAGUCUGAUAAAUGAUUAGGCUGAAUCAAUUUGAAAGCACCAGUUUUUCCCUGCUAAACAAACAAACAAACAAAAUCCCAAACCAAACACUUCAAUAUCAUCCAGUGAAUAGCACAUAUAUGUACCAUGUAGCUUAUAACCAUUUAAACCUUUUGGGCAGUAAGACAUUUAGAUAAACCAAACAUGGAUUAACGUAG